rnacentral:rRNA from 1 species
UACGUAGGGUGCGAGCGUUGUCCGGAAUUAUUGGGCGUAAAGAGCUCGUAGGCGGUGUGUCGCGUCGGCCGUGAAAACCUGCAGCUUAACUGUGGGCUUGCGGUCGAUACGGGCAUCACUGGAGUUCGGCAGGGGAGACUGGAAUUCCUGGUGUAGCGGUGAAAUGCGCAGAUAUCAGGAGGAACACCGGUGGCGAAGGCGAACAUCUGGCCCGAUACUGACGCUGAGGCGCGAAAGCUAGGGGAGCAAACGGG